GGCCGGGCCCGCGUUGCCCUGGCGACCCGCGACGCUGGAGCGAGCCGGCCGCCGUUUGGGCGACCCCAGCGCCGAGGACGCAGACCCCGAGUUGAGCUUCCGCCGCGCGGCAGUAGGCGGCGGCAUGCCGGUGACCAAGUGCCCACAGAAGUCGCUGCCCCUGUGGAAGGAGUGGGACCGCAAGGCGCAGAGGAAUGGCAUCCGCCACCAGGUGUACGCCGUCAACGGCGACCGCUACCUGGGCGAGUGGAAGGACAACCUGAAACACGGAAAAGGAACACAAAUCUGGAAGAAAGGUGCCAUCUAUGAGGGGGACUGGAAGUUUGGAAAGCGAGAUGGCUAUGGGACCCUCAGCCUUCCUGAGAAAGAGACUGGAAGGUACAGGAGAGUAUACUCGGGCUGGUGGAAAGGUGACAAGAAAUCGGGCUACGGCAUCCAGUUCUUUGGACCCAAGGAGUACUACGAGGGUGAGUGGUGUGGCAACCGACGCACUGGGUGGGGCCGCAUGUACUACAGCAACGGAGACAUCUACGAAGGCCAGUGGUACGACGACAAGCCCGAAGGGGAGGGCAUGUUGCGGCUGAAGAAUGGAAACCGCUAUGAGGGCCAGUGGGAGAAAGGCAUGAAGAACGGGAAGGGCCGUUUCUUCCACCUGGACCGCGGACAGCUGUUCGAAGGUUUCUGGGUGGACGACGUGGCCAAGUGUGGCACCAUGAUCGACUUUGGCCGCGAUGAAGCCCCCAAGCCCACACAGUUCCCCAUUCCUGAGAUCAAACUUGCAGACCCCGACGGCGUGCUGGAGGAAGCCCUGGCCCAGUUCACGAAAGCACAGGAAGGAGAGAGUGAAUCGGGUGUGUAGCCCAGCAGGACUGCGGACACACAGGCUUCGCACUGACGCAGCCCAGCAGCUCGCCUCGGGCCAGUGAACCUGGAGCUUCAGGAGAAAACCAGCUGGUGUCACCAACCACUCAGACUGGCAUGGUCCC